GCCGGGCGCGGUGGCGGGCGCCUGUAGUCCUAGCUACUCAGGAGGCUGAGGCAGGAGAAUGGCGUGAACCCAGGAGGCGGAGCUUGCAGUGAGCCGAGAUCGCGCCACUGCACUCCAGCCUGGGCAACAGCGUGAGACUCCGUCUCUU
rnacentral:SRP_RNA from 1 species